AUGGGGGAGGGGGUGGUUGAAGGGUGGAGGACCCGCUUACCUUGCUCUCGAGCAGCGGCUGUUGGACAGAAGUGGGUGCGGGACCCUGCAAGUGCCUGCGGGGUUGGGGAAAAAGAGGAUUCGGGGAUCCCGGUGCCCCGCACGAAUAAGGGGGCGCCCACCCCAUCCCGACCGCCGAGUUUGCGCCCCUCCUCAGACAAUGUGAGAGACCGACAAACUUUUGAAUGGAUUAAAAUCCAGAGGAGCCCCGCCGGAACAGCCCCUUGUAGGCUUGCUGUGCCACUGUCCAGAAGUGACUCUACCUCUCUGUUCUUCCGGCACCACAAGAUGGAGCUGGAGUUGGUUCCCAAACCAUGGGAAGAACAGGAGAGGGAAUUCAAGAACCAGAUUUCUGGCCAAAGAACAGACAGUUAUCAGAGAAAUUGUGAAUGGGAUUGCACUGAGAACGAUGAGUCCUGA
ensembl:lncRNA